UUGACAACACUGAGGGGUCUUUAUCUACAGAGCAGUUAAAACCCAGGCACUGGCAAUGAAAGCUUUCUGCCAUGCUGGUGCCUGAUGAAGUGCCUCCACCCUGGGCAGGAGAGGCUGUCUCUAGGACUGAGGAGGAGAGCAUUUCCUUGGUCCAUUCAGUCUUUGACUUUU
rnacentral:sRNA from 1 species